CUCAGGAUGAACGCUAGCGGCAGGCCUAACACAUGCAAGUCGAGGGGCAGCGGGGAUUGCUUGCAAUCCGCCGGCGACCGGCGCACGGGUGCGGAACGCGUAUGGAACCUGCCCCUGUCAGGGGAAUAGCCCAGGGAAACUUGGAUUAAUGCCCCAUGGUACCGUGAUAUCGCAUGAUAUUGCGGUUAAAGAUUUAUCGGACAGGGAUGGCCAUGCGUACCAUUAGUUAGUUGGUAAGGUAACGGCUUACCAAGGCAGCGAUGGUUAGGGGCCCUGAGAGGGGGAUCCCCCACACUGGUACUGAGACACGGACCAGACUCCUACGGGAGGCAGCAGUGAGGAAUAUUGGACAAUGGUGGGAACACUGAUCCAGCCAUGCCGCGUGCAGGAUGACUGCCCUAUGGGUUGUAAACUGCUUUUAUACGGGAAGAAACCUCCCCUCGUGAGGGGAGCUGACGGUACCGUAAGAAUAAGGACCGGCUAACUCCGUGCCAGCAGCCGCGGUAAUACGGAGGGUCCGAGCGUUAUCCGGAAUCAUUGGGUUUAAAGGGUCCGUAGGCGGGCCUGUAAGUCAGGGGUGAAAGUCUGUGGCUCAACCAUAGAAUUGCCUUUGAUACUGCAGGUCUUGAGUCAUGGUGGGGUUGCCGGAACAUGUGGUGUAGCGGUGAAAUGCAUAGAUAUCACAUAGAACACCGAUCGCGAAGGCAGGUGACCAACCAUGUACUGACGCUGAUGGACGAAAGCGUGGGUAGCGAACGGGAUUAGAUACCCCGGUAGUCCACGC
rnacentral:rRNA from 1 species